rnacentral:lncRNA from 1 species
GAAGGCUUCUGGGCACAGUCAAGUACUUGCGAAGUCAGAGUGUGAUCGAGAUGGGAUUGACCACACCAAGAGUUAGAGAAGAAUGAGUCGCUGUAUUUCAAUUUAGCAAAACCUUGGCCAGGGUAAUCCAUCAGAUGGAUUUGAUAUUUUGAAAUACAAUGUGGACAACCUGAUCAGAGUUGACAGUUGAACUCUGGGGUGUCCUAUGAUCAUUUUGGUCAAGGGGAUCCGCAUGGGUUCUAAGGAUGUUGUUCUACACAUUCGACCUAUCCGAUCAUCGGGUACCAUUGCUAGAUGGUCACUUCGAUUGGUACAGAAAUUUGUUCCUAUGCUACCGACUUAGGUUCGGACCUAUGAGGUCACACACAUUAGAGUUCAUGAUCCGAUCGGAUAGUCGAUCAAUGAUUAAGAAUCAUUCUAGGAUUAAAUGAUCAAUACGAUUGACAUUUAACCCAGUGCAAGUAUUGCAGGAGGAUCGAUUAGCAAUUCGAUUGCUAAUUGGCUUAAGCC